AUUAUGACAUUCCGCUGCGUGGACAGUUUUGGUAGCCACAGCGCGUCUAUAGUCCGCGCUCGUCCCCAAGCGGAGUCAGUCGUAUUCCAGCAGGAUAUCUGUCCCCAUCUCAUGUACAUUAAAUUGUUUUAUAUUGUUUAAAAUAUAAGACAUUAUAGUCUGUUUCGCCAAGCGUACUUUAUUUGAUUUGCCGUCGUGUAGACGUACAUACAGCACGUGUGUGCACACUGCACACCGGUAUUUUUACGGCACUUGCAUUAUUUACAUUGGUCACGAGUAAUCGAAAUAAUUGUAAUUUAUUACGUUGCAAUCACAAUUUUCUCGUCACAGCCAUAUCGACCAUAACAUAUUAUUCUUCUGCCAUUAUUUAGUCCUCAACUGCAGUCCUCGGUGUAAGUUGUUGGGCACAUGACACGUUUCCACGACUCACGAUAUAGCUCAUAUUAUAAUAUUAUACUGUAGACGGUGUAACAUACAGAUCUACCUUUUUCAUCGAAACGUCCUGUCAUCGUCGUAUUUGCCGAUUUUCAAUCGAUUGGGUUUGAUCGCAUUGUAUUAUUCAAAAAUGGAAAAAAACUAGAAGAUUCACAUUAUUUCUUGCUACUCUAUGUUUUAUUUGUGCGGUUAACGAAGCCACUACGAUCGUUCACCCAACAAAAACUGCACGACUACAUCAGAGAAUUGUAAAUCAAAAAAAGAGCCGUUGUAUUUUUUUUGCCAUUUGGGAGUUUAAAUCAAAAUUAAGUUUAAGGGUUGUACUUAUGAAAACUACUGCCAACUCUGUUGUGAUGUAACCCUGAAAUUCUAUGGGACUCAGACCCUAUAAAUAUUAAACAAUACAUAAUUUAUCAUGCACACAUAUAUUGUUGACUAAAAAUGUAACCUAACCUAUCAAAAUACAACAAAAUACUGGAACAACCAAACAUCAAAUUCAACAACAAAAACACCAAGCACAUUUACGUAAAAUACAAUAUAUAAUUCCGACCAUAACAACCACAACCACUAUCUCAACCAGAACAUUACUAACCUCAAUGAAUGCAUACCUAUAUACCCAUUCUGGAGACAACUCAUAUACAUACGUAAAAAUAUUUAUAUUUAAAUAAAACAACGCGAACGAACACAUACGUCAAUCAACAUUCAUAAUCAAAAGUAACGAAAACCCUUACAUCAUCCAACAAUCCAUAGCUAAUAUUUUAUUAUGAAAACGACAGAACAUCAUCACAAUAACAAUUUGAAAAAUACACACUUCCUUACGCUAUGUCCCAGCUUUCACCCAACAAAAACUGCACGACUACAACAGAGGGUUAUAAAUAAAAAAGAGCUGUUUGGGAACAAUACGUUAUGGCAUUUGGCAAAACAAUACCCGGUUAAAUAAAGUCUUGAUCAAGUUUAAGUAACAAUUUAUAGGGUUAUUGUACUUACCGACGUGACUGCCAACAUAAAAAUCAUUGUGUGAACCGUGAUGGAGUUGUGUACCCUACACUUCCUAUAUUUUAUUGUUGUUGUGAUGUAAUUCUAAAAUUAUAUGGACCCAGCCCCUGUCAAUACUGUAAAGCCAGAACCAAGCGAUACGGACAAAAUAUUUCAUGUACAAUUAGCAGGAUAUUUUGUAUUUAUUACUUUAUGUUAUUCGGCUUAUAAUCAUAGAAAAAUAUAUGAAUUUAUUCAAGUAAGUAAAUUUAAUAAUUAUUUUUCUUUUGUAAUAAUGGAUUGAAUAGGUAACUCGUAAUAACGAAUUGGACAACUAGUAAUAACGGAUUGGACAAUGGUACGAUAUAGUUAUCGUACGCAUACAAUAAUUUAAGCCAUUUGUAUUUUGUACGAAUAUUGUAGGUACGAUCAGUGUCGCAAGACAAAAUUCCCCAUUAGCAUUAUACCGGGGAUUGACUAAAUACAAAUAAUUUAUGAGAAUUAUUAUAUAUACUUGUGAUAAUCCAUAAAAAUGAGAUUAAAAAAACAUAUGGUUUGCCCUUCAACGCUUCCGUAGAUAUAGGCUAUUAUGGUUUUAGUGUUAAACUGUGUCAUUAUUAUUAUAUUUAAAUUUAAACUAGUUAUUGUAAAUCUAUAUAUUAAAUAUUAUAAUUACGUAUAUU